rnacentral:rRNA from 1 species
UACGUAGGGGGCUAGCGUUGUCCGGAAUCAUUGGGCGUAAAGCGCGUGUAGGCGGUCCGGUAAGUCCGCUGUGAAAGUCGGGGGCUCAACCCUCGAAUGCCGGUGGAUACUGUCGGGCUAGAGUGCGGAAGAGGCGAGUGGAAUUCCUGGUGUAGCGGUGAAAUGCGUAGAUAUCAGGAGGAAUACCGAUGGCGAAGGCAGGUCUCUGGGCUGACACUGACGCUCAUGCACGAAAGCGUGGGGAGCAAACAGG